rnacentral:misc_RNA from 1 species
GAUGAAGAACGUAGCGAAAUGCGAUAAGUAAUGUGAAUUGCAGAAUUCAGUGAAUCAUCGAAUCUUUGAACGCACAUUGCGCCCGCCAGUAUUCUGGCGGGCAUGCCUGUUCGAGCGUCAUUUCAACCAUCAAGCCCCCGGCUUGUGUUGGGGACCUGCGGCUGCCGCAGGCCCUGAAAAGCAGUGGCAGGCUCGCUGUCACACCGAGCGUAGUAGCAUACAUCUCGCUCUGGGCGUGCUGCGGGUUCCGGCCGUUAAACCACCUUCAUAACCCAAGGUUGACCUCGGAUCAGGUAGGAAGACCCGCUGAACUUAAGCAUAUCAAUAAGCGGAGGA